GGAUGUGAAGGAGAUCUGGGUGCGGCAUCUGUCACCCAGUUGAUUGCCAGGGUUGACCAGCUGCUCUGGCUGGCUAAGCAGGUGUCCCCUUCCUGCCUCACUGCUCCCUGUGCCUCCUUCCCUAAGCUGCGUGCUCGGUGGAAGAGGACCACCACCCCGAUAGAGGAGGACCGUUUCCUUGGUCAGCGUUACAAGUAGCUGCCCUCUCCUGCUAGAACCUCCAGACAAGCACCCAAAAUGAAAAAAUAAAACAGGGCUGGAGAUGUAGCUCAGGCCAAAGGCCUU
rnacentral:snRNA from 1 species